UUUUUGUAACUUAUCCAAAAAAAAAAAUAUUUCCCACCACAUUCUGGCAAAAUUAUUUUCCCGGUGAAAAUUUUUUUCUCCUAUUCCAAACACCCCCUAAGGGAUUCACCUCUACUCCCAAACACCAAAAACCAGUAAAAACCUCAUUAAAGAUUAAUUGUCUUCAUGUCAUUGCUGACUUCAAUUCAUGCUCCUUAGGGCCCACUUCUCAAUUGCUACCUGAACACUUAUUAGUUUGGCAUCUAUAAUCCGAAGGAGCCUAGUUCAAGCAUACAAAGGAUACUUCAGAUAAAAAUAAUGGAGGUGGAGAAUAGGAGAAAUGAGACAAGAUAUUUGUGGUCGUACUGUUACUGGUAUUGGAAUUCAAGAAAGACAACUAGAGAAGAUGGUUUGGAUUCCUUAAAUGCAACGAUAAUGGAGAGAAAGCCCGGAUGGAAGGCUAUUGCUUUCAUAUUAGGAAAUGAAACCAUUGAGAGAAUUUCAACAUACGGCAUGACAGCAAAUAUCAAGUUGAAUUAACCAAGCCCGGUUUGCACAAGUGUUUGUUGCAGCUUACAAGAAACGUCACCUUAAAAACCCAGCAGCAAAUGAAGAGGAAGUUGUUUACUAUGAUCCCCCACUAAGAGAUGAUAAAGCAGUCAAGAUACCUUUAACCAAACAAUUUAGAUUUCUAAACAAAGAUGCUCUGAUACAAGAGAAUGAAGUUAAUGCAGAAGGUUUGGUCACAAAUCCGUGGAGGCUUUGCAGCAUUCAGCAAGUUGAAGAAGUCAAAUGUUUAAUUAGAAUGAUACCAAUAUGGGCUUCUGGUAUCUUGUGUUUGAUACCAAUGGCACAAACAAGAACCUUUCCUAUAACACAGGCCAUGAAAAUGGACCGACACCUUGGACCACACUUUGAAAUUCUCGCUGCAUCAUUCCUUGUAGUGGCCUUAAUUAGCUUUGGUAUAUGGCUCCCCUGUUAUGACCUCUUUGUGCAAAGAGCUCUGGCAAAAGUCACAAAACAAGAUGAAGGGUUGACAAGCCUUAGAAAUAUAGUAAUUGGCAACAUCUUCUUAAUUCUUACAGUGGUAAGUGGUGGUUUGGUGGAGUGGCGAAGAAGGAGUGUGGCUAUCUCACAAAGAAUACUUCAGAUAAAAAUAUGAAAUCAGCAGAUGUUGAAAGUGUUCAGGGAUCCUUACACAAAUAUUCCCAGGAAAAAUUUUGGUCAACCAAACAUUAACUCAGAAACUUACCUAAAUAUUCGCAAGACAAAUUUUGACCAACCAAGCACAUUUUUGUAACUUAUAUCCGGGGAAAAAUAUUUCCCACCACAUUCCGGCAAAAUUAUUUUUCCGGUGAAAUUUUUUUUCUCCUAUUCCAAACACCCCCCAAAACAUUUCAUUCCUUGUCUACGCGCCCCACGGGACCCGCCCAAUCUUCCUUUCGUUAUGCCAACAAAUAGAAAGAGAAGUGUCUUGCAGAGGGCCAAUAAUAGAUGUUCCUUUUCCCUUAGGGAACGUUUGGUACCCAGAUUCUUUUUGUUUUCCUUGGAAAGCUGUGUAGGGAGAAUUUGAUAUCCAAGUUUGGUAGCAAUAAAAGCUACACUUUUGCAUAAUUUUUUAGUUAACGUGUAAGCUCUGGUACGGACACAUUGUAAAUUACUCCUUCGAUAAGCAGGUAUAUUUUCUUGCUCGGGAAGUAAAAAAGUAGCGAAAUGAUCUGGACGAAAUUAACCCGACCUUUUUGUGUACUAUCUGUAAAGUUGGGGUUAUUUUUAUAAAUUAAUCCUACAUUCCUUACUACUAUUUCACAAUCAACCAAACAUCAACUCAGAAACUUAGACGAAUAUUCACAGGAUAAAUUUUGGUCAACCAAACAUCAACUCAGAAAUUUACCCAAAUAUUUGAAGGACAAAUUUUGGUCAACCAAACAUCAACUCAGAAACUUACCCAAAUAUUCGCAGGACAAAUUUUGGCCAACCCAUCACAUUUUUGUAACUUAUCCAAAAAAAAAAAUAUUUCCCACCACAUUCUGGCAAAAUUAUUUUCCCGGUGAAAUUUUUUUUCUCCUAUUCCAAACACCCCCUAAGGGAUUCACCUCUACUCCCAAACACCAAAAACCAGUAAAAACCUCAUUAAAGAUUAAUUGUCUUCAUGUCAUUGCUGACUUCAAUUCAUGCUCCUUAGGGCCCACUUCUCAAUUGCUACCUGAACACUUAUUAGUUUGGCAUCUAUAAUCCGAAGGAGCCUAGUUCAAGCAUACAAAGGAUACUUCAGAUAAAAAUAAUGGAGGUGGAGAAUAGGAGAAAUGAGACAAGAUAUUUGUGGUCGUACUGUUGCUGGUAUGGAAUUGAAGAAAGUCAACUAGAGAAGAUGGUUUGGAUUCCUUAAAUGCAAGGACAAUGGAGAGAAAGCCUGGAUGGAAGGCUAUUGCUUUCAUAUUAGGAUAUGAAACCAUUGAGAGAAUUGCAACAUACAGCAUGACAACAAAUUUCAUGUUGUAUUUGUUGAAAGUGUUCAAUUUGAGUCACGUUGGUGCUGCAACUGUUAUCAGCAUAUGGUCUGGAGCGAGCAAUUUCAUAUCAAUUAUUGGUGCUUCUCUUGCUGACGCCUAUUUAGGAAAAUUCAAAAUCAUUGCUAUGGCAUCAUUUGGAACACUUGUGGGAAUGGUGAUAUUAACACUGACAGCAUGGCUGCCACAAUUUCAUCCUCCAAGUUGCUCUUCUCUGCACCAAGCAUAUGUUCCCCCAAAUACUAAUCAGCUGGCCAUCUUAAUUUUGGUAAUGUCUUUGCUGGGUAUAGGCACAGGUGGAAUUAGAGCAUGUAGUAUUCCCUUUGCCAUUGAUCAAUUUGACACAACUUCCUCUGAUGGAAGCAAAUGAGUCAACAGAUUCUUAAAUGGGUACUACACCACACAGACAUUGGUCAUGUUGAUCAAUAAUACUUUAAUAUUUUACAUCCAAAACAAAAACUGGGUCAUGGGUUUUGGGAUACUAGUCCUUAUCAUGUUGUGUGCAAUAAUCACAUUUUUUGCCAGAACAAGAACUUAUUUUUACCUUCCAGCAGAAGCGAGCAUAUUUUCUGGUAUUGCACAAGUGUUUGUUGCAGCUUACAAGAUGCGUCACCUUAAAAACCCAGCAGCAAAUGAAGAGGAAGUUGUUUACUAUGAUCCUCCACUAAGAGAUGAUAAAGCAGUCAAGAUACCUUUAACCAAACAACUUAGAUUUCUAAACAAAGAUGCUCUGAUACAAGAGAAUGAAGUUAAUGCAGAAGGUUUGGUCACAAAUCCAUGAAGGCUUUGCAGCAUUCAACAAGUUGAAGAAGUCAAAUGUUUAAUCAAAAUGAUACCAAUAUGGGCUUCUGGUAUCUUGUGUUUGAUACCAAUGGCACAAGCAGGAACCUUUCCUAUAGCACAGGCCAUGAAAAUGGACCGACACCUUGGACCACACUUUGAAAUUCCUGCUGCAUCAUUCGUUGUAGUGGCUUUAAUUAGCAUUGGUAUAUGGCUCCCCUGUUAUGACCUCUUUGUGCAAAGAGCUCAGGCAAAAGUCACAAAACAAGAUGAAGGGUUGACAAGCCUUUGAAAUAUAAUAAUUGGCAACAUCUUCUCAAUUCUUACAAUGGUAAGUGGUGGUUUGGUGGAAUGGCGAAGAAGGAGUGUGGCUAUCUCACAAAGGAUACUUCAGAUAAAAAUAUGAAAUCAGCAGAUGUUGAAAGUGUUCAAGGAUCCUUACAGAAAAUAUUCCCAGGACAAAUUUUGGUCAACAAAAACAUCAACUCAGAAACUUACGCAAAUAUUUGCAGGACAAAUUUUGACCAACCAAACACAUUUUUGUAACUUAUAUCCGGGAAAAAAAUUUCCCACCACAUUCCGGCGAAAUUAUUUUCCCAGUGAAUUUUUUUUUUCUUAUUCCAAACACCCCCAAAACAUUUUAUUCCUUGUCUAUACGCCUCACGGGACCCGCCCAAUCUUCCUUUCGUUAUGCCAACAAAUAGAAAGAGAAGUGUCUUGCAGAGGGACAAUAAUAGAUGUUCCUUAUCCCUUAGGGAACGUUUGGUACCCAGAUUCUUUUUGUUUUCCUUGGAAAGCUCUGUAGGGAGAAUUUGAUAUCCAAGUUUGGUAGCAAUAAAAGCGACACUUU